rnacentral:rRNA from 1 species
CCUACGGGAGGCAGCAGUGAGGAAUAUUGGUCAAUGGACGAGAGUCUGAACCAGCCAAGUAGCGUGAAGGAUGACUGCCCUCUGGGUUGUAAACUUCUUUUAUAUGGGAAUAACAUGUUCCACGUGUGGGCUUUUGUAUGUACCAUAUGAAUAAGGAUCGGCUAACUCCGUGCCAGCAGCAGCGGUAAUACGGAGGAUCCGCGCGUUCUCCGGAUUUAUUGGGUUUAAAGGGAGCGUAGGUGGAUUGUUAAGUCAGUUGUGAAAGUUUGCGGCUCAAACGUAAAAUUGCAGUUGAAACUGGCAGGCUUGAGUACAGUAGAGGUGGGCGGAAUUCGUGGUGUAGCGGUGAAAUGCUUAGAUAUCACGAAGAACUCCGAUUGCGAAGGCAGCUCACUGGACUGCAACUGACACCGAGGCUCGAAAGUGUGGGUAUCAAACAGGAUUAGAUACCCUAGUAGUC